rnacentral:rRNA from 1 species
AUCUAUAGCCAUACCACCCUGAAUGUGCCUGAUCUUGGAAGCUAAGCAGGACCUGGCCUGGUUAGUACUUGGAUGGGAGAAGACUAUUGAACCCAACAAUUGCUGACGUUA